AUCGAACGCUGGCGGCAGGCCUAACACAUGCAAGUCGAGCGGAUGAAGGGAGCUUGCUCCUGGAUUCAGCGGCGGACGGGUGAGUAAUGCCUAGGAAUCUGCCUGGUAGUGGGGGAUAACGUCCGGACACGGGCGCUAAUACCGCAUACGUCCUGAGGGAGAAUGUGGGGGAUCUUCGGACCUCACGCUAUCAGAUGAGCCUAGGUCGGAUUAGCUAGUUGGUGGGGUAAAGGCCUACCAAGGCGACGAUCCGUAACUGGUCUGAGAGGAUGAUCAGUCACACUGGAACUGAGACACGGUCCAGACGCCUACGGGAGGCAGCAGUGGGGAAUAUUGGACAAUGGGCGGAAGCCUGAUCCAGCCAUGCCGCGUGUGUGAAGAAGGUCUUCGGAUUGUAAAGCACUUUAAGUUGGGAGGAAGGGCAGUAAGUUAAUACCUUGCUGUUUUGACGUUACCAACAGAAUAAGCACCGGCUAACUUCGUG
rnacentral:rRNA from 1 species